UUAGCUUUGGAUAAAUGCCGCUCUCAUUUUCUGAUUAAACUUCUGUAGGCUUUUGGUUUAGCAUGUAUAUUUAAGAAUAUGCAAUCAUGGUCAACUGGAAUGUACUUUUUGACACUUGAAUAUUUUUUAUCUCACAAAUCUUUCUCUGCAUUGUUUGGUUCUAUUCUUGCUGUGACUUGGUUGAUUGGUUCUGAGACUGAUUAUUUGAAAAUACAGUUUUACUUCGUAUUACAAAACGUCCUUCUCUCUUCCUCCGGUGCCUCCCCUCUUUUUUCAUUUUGAUUUAAAGAAGACUACAUUUAUUGUCUGUAUUGUCUUAUAUAACUAAUAAAAACCAAAGAUAAACAAUCUCUUAAUUUCAUUUUAAUAGUUUGAGUGCCCCUAAAAAGAAAAAGUAUUAGUUACGAUGAUCCCUCCAAAAAUAGUAUCUGUAACCGAAUAACUAAGACAUGCUACUCUAUACGGCAAAAAAUAAGAAAGGGUUAAA
rnacentral:lncRNA from 1 species